AUGGCAUUGAUUUAAAACUUCCUUAGCACCUGUCCAGUUGUGGGUGCAGCCUUACACCAGGCAGCCAGACCCUGACCUAAAAUAAUUUCCCAGGAGAAGUCUUUCCUGGGUUUUGAAUUUGUGGUAACAGAUGUGAGCAUUCUAGCAACAGUUUGAUAAUCACGUGUGAUACUACAAACAGGA